UACGAAGGGGGGCUAGCGUUGCUCGGAAUCACUGGGCGUAAAGGGCGCGUAGGCGGCCAUUCAAGUCAGAGGUGAAAGCCCAAGGCUCAACCUUGGAAUUACCUUUGAUACUGUUUGGCUUGAGACCGGAAGAGGUUAGUGGAACUGCGAGUGUAGAGGUGAAAUUCGUAGAUAUUCGCAAGAACACCAGUGGCGAAGGCGGCUAACUGGUCCGGUUCUGACGCUGAGGCGCGAAAGCGUGGGGAGCAAACAGG
rnacentral:rRNA from 1 species